UCCACUCGGCCAUGCUAACAAGUGAAAGUGAAACCCUAAGCCCAUGCUACUUCGGUACUUCCACAGUUCCACGUCCAGCUUUCUUCCAGUUCACCAGCCGCCGCCGACGGUCACACCACUACACCUCGUCCCUGCCUGCUGGCUCGCUGAGGCCGAUCAGGACUAGUACGUCUCGCUGUAGUAGGCGCUCGAGGAGUACGUCUUGCCGAGCAGACGGAGACACCAAGGCCGACCAGGACCACUGGACCAGUACGUCUCGUCGAGCUCCAAUCCAGCGCUGACGCCACCACCACACCUCGCCGAGUGCGGAUGCCUACUCACCUCUGCCAGCUCAGGUAAUCAGGAAACAAGAGAAAAGCGAGUGGAAGCUCUAUGGGUGCACCAAUUGGUCAGUCAUCAUCUUCAGCACAAGCAGGUGAAAGAAGAUGCAAAUAAAUUGGUUGUCGCAGGCACAAGUAAUAUUGGUACUAGAGUUGUAGCUUCUGUUGAUAUAGCGGGCCUUGAUGAUGAUGAUGAGGACAUACAAGAGGAGAUGACUGGAAUAGGAAAGAGACAAACGAGGCGCACAUCUAUUGUAUGGAAGUACUUUACAAAAUAAAAUGUGGAAGUGGAUGUGAAUGGCAAGAAGUUUGAGCAGCUAUGGGCCUACUGCAACUUUCCAAAAUGUAAGCAGAGAUAUAGAGUUGAGUCUAAUCAUGGAACAAAUGCAUUCCGCAACCAUCUGAGGUCACAUCAUAGUAUUGUCAAAGGACAACUAGAACUAAAGGCAGAAAAGGAUCAUGGAAAAGAUGUCACCACUAUUUAGCCUUUUAGGUAUGAUCCGGAUGCUAGUCUUAGAAAAUUCUAUUUAAUAGUAAUCAUGCAUGAGUACCCAUUCAACAUUGUUGAGCAUGAUUAUUUUGUUGA